rnacentral:rRNA from 1 species
GUGAACGCUGGCGGCAGGCCUAACACCUGCAAGUCGAGCGGCAGCGGGUCCUUCGGGAUGCCGGCGAGCGGCGGACGGGUGAGGAAUGCAUCGGAAUCUGCCCUGUCGUGGGGGAUAACCUAGGGAAACUUAGGCUAAUACCGCAUACGACCCACGGGUGAAAGCGGGGGAUCGCAAGACCUCGCGCGAUAGGAUGAGCCGAUGUCCGAUUAGCUAGUUGGCGGGGUAAAGGCCCACCAAGGCGACGAUCGGUAGCUGGUCUGAGAGGAUGAUCAGCCACACUGGGACUGAGACACGGCCCAGACUCCUACGGGAGGCAGCAGUGGGGAAUAUUGGACAAUGGGCGCAAGCCUGAUCCAGCCAUGCCGCGUGGGUGAAGAAGGCCUUCGGGUUGUAAAGCCCUUUUGUCCGGGAAGAAAUCGUCUGGGCUAAUACCCCGGGCGGAUGACGGUACCGGAAGAAUAAGCACCGGCUAACUUCGUG